GGAGGAGUUAUAGGGAGAGGUUAUAUGGAGUAAUAGGAGGAGUUAUAGCGAGAGGUUAUAUGGAGUAAUAGGAGGAGUUAUAUGGAGAGGAUAUAUGGAGUAAUAGGAGGAGUUAUAGCGAGAGGUUAUAUGGAGUAAUAGGAGGAGUUAUAUGGAGAGGUUAUAUGGAGUAAUAGGAGGAGUUAUAGGGAGAGGUUAUAUGUAGUAAUAGGAGGAGUUAUAGGGAGAGGUUAUAUGGAUUAAUAGGAGGAGUUAUAGGGAGAGGUUAUAUGGAGUAAUAGGAGGAGUUAUAGAGAGAGGUUAUAUGGAGUAAUAGGAGGAGUUAUAGAGAGAGAGGUUAUAUGGAGUAAUAGGAGGAGUUAUAGGGAUAGGUUAUAUGGGGUAACAGGAGGAGUUAUAGGGAGAGGUUAUAUGGAGUAAUAGGAGGAGUUAUAGGGAGAGGUUAUAUGGAGUAAUAGGAGGAGUUAUAGGGAGAGGUUAUAUGGAGUAAUAGGAGGAG